UAUGGUGGACUCCUCCGACGACUCGGACGGCGACCAGAGGCCCAAGUCGCUGGACUUCUGGGACAACAAACCGCAGAUCACGCCCACACCGCUGAGCCCCACCCACUACCAGCAGCCGCCCACGCCCGACCACCCGCCGCCCUCGGCUCGCCAGGCGCAGAUCUCCAUCUUCGCCAAGAUUCAGUCUGUCUCGCGGCCGCCCGGUGGUGAUGGUGAUGAUGGUGAUGGUUUGGUCUCCGAUUUGAAGGUUAAGGAUGCCUCAUAACCCGGAUCUUGGAUUGUGCUCUGAUUGACCUUUGACCUUGGAUGUAAUUAUUCGCUUUGAUAGGUCAAGAAUCAUGUGGAUUUUAAUAAUAGGAUAUCAUGCAGUAUGGCGAAUCGCCUUUUUUUUAAUGUAUUUUUUUGGUGUCGUUUUUACAUGCAUAUUUUUUUAGUUUUGUUAUGUAAUAGUUUGAAUAUAUUUUUAUAUAGUGACUUUUUAUGUAAAUAUGCGUGAGUGUGCCAAGACUGUGUUGCCAAGCUUUGAUAUCGAGACUUUUUUUUUAAGAGUGAAAAUUCUUUUCUUUUUUUUUAUUCGGCCACGGUGAUAAGAAAAAAAAAUAGUGGUGGUUGAUGGUGAUGACAUUUUUGUCGGUGGUGUUAGUGAUGGAGGUAUGGUGAUGACUGUAGUGAUGAAUUGGUGACGACGGUGUGAUGGUGACAAGAGGAUGACACAACCUCGGUAUGACACACAGAUAGAAGGGAAGAAAGACGUAAGUGCCACCCUCAUGACACUGGCAUUACUACUAUUAUUAUUGUUGUUGUUGCUGCUGCAAGGAGGCUACGUUGCCGAAGAAAUACUACUGCGAGGUUGUUGUCUCUCGCGGACUGUGUGGGCGUGAACCGAGGAAGGACACUAACCUC